rnacentral:rRNA from 1 species
UACGAAGGGUGCAAGCGUUGCUCGGAAUUAUUGGGCGUAAAGCGCACGUAGGCGGCUCGUCAAGUCGGAUGUGAAAUCCCUCGGCUCAACCAAGGAAGUGCAUCCGAAACUGCUGAGCUUGAGUACUUAAGAGGAUCGCGGAAUUCCCGGUGUAGAGGUGAAAUUCGUAGAUAUCGGGAGGAACACCAGUGGCGAAGGCGGCGAUCUGGGAAGAUACUGACGCUGAGGUGCGAAAGCGUGGGGAGCAAACAGG